GUACUCGCUUCUGUGGUACAUACACGAAAAUUGGAACGACACAGAGAAGAUUAGCAAGGCCCCUGCGCAAGGAUGACACGCAAAAUAGUGACAAUGCCGGCGCGAUA